rnacentral:rRNA from 1 species
CUACGGGGUGCACCAGUGGGGAAUAUUGCACAAUGGGCGCAAGCCUGAUGCAGCCAUGCCGCGUGUAUGAAGAAGGCCUUCGGGUUGUAAAGUACUUCAGCGGGGAGGAAGGGAGUAAAGUUAAUACCUUUGCUCAUUGACGUUACCCGCAGAAGAAGCACCGGCUAACUCCGUGCCAGCAGCCGCGGUAAUACGGAGGGUGCAAGCGUUAAUCGGAAUUACUGGGCGUAAAGCGCACGCAGGCGGUUUGUUAAGUCAGAUGUGAAAUCCCCGGGCUCAACCUGGGAACUGCAUCUGAUACUGGCAAGCUUGAGUCACGUAGAGGGGGGUAGAAUUCCAGGUGUAGCGGUGAAAUGCGUAGAGACCUGGAGGAAUACCGGUGGCGAAGGCGGCCCCCUGGACGAAGACUGACGCUCAGGUGCGAAAGCGUGGGGAGCAAACAGGAUUAGAUACCCGUGUAGUC